AGUGAACGCUGGCGGUAGGCCUAACACAUGCAAGUCGAACGGCAGCACAGUAAGAGCUUGCUCUUACGGGUGGCGAGUGGCGGACGGGUGAGGAAUACAUCGGAAUCUACUUUUUCGUGGGGGAUAACGUAGGGAAACUUACGCUAAUACCGCAUACGACCUACGGGUGAAAGCAGGGGAUCUUCGGACCUUGCGCGAUUGAAUGAGCCGAUGUCGGAUUAGCUAGUUGGCGGGGUAAAGGCCCACCAAGGCGACGAUCCGUAGCUGGUCUGAGAGGAUGAUCAGCCACACUGGAACUGAGACACGGUCCAGACUCCUACGGGAGGCAGCAGUGGGGAAUAUUGGACAAUGGGCGCAAGCCUGAUCCAGCCACACCGCGUGGGUGAAGAAGGCCUUCGGGUUGUAAAGCCCUUUUGUUGGGAAAGAAAAGCAGCAGGUUAAUACCCCGCUGUUCUGACGGUACCCAAAGAAUAAGCACCGGCUAACUUCGCG
rnacentral:rRNA from 1 species